rnacentral:rRNA from 1 species
UCAGUUUGGUUUGCUUGCAAACUGGAGAUGGCGACCGGCGCACGGGUGAGUAACGCGUAUCCAACCUUCCGUACACUCAGGGAUAGCCUUUCGAAAGAAAGAUUAAUACCUGAUGGUAUGAUGAGAUUGCAUGAUAGCAUCAUUAAAGAUUUAUCGGUGUACGAUGGGGAUGCGUUCCAUUAGGUAGUAGGCGGGGUAACGGCCCACCUAGCCGACGAUGGAUAGGGGUUCUGAGAGGAAGGUCCCCCACAUUGGAACUGAGACACGGUCCAAACUCC